ACUGGAAUAACUCCGGGAAACCGGGGCUAAUGCCGGAUAAUAUUUAGAACCGCAUGGUUCUAAAGUGAAAGAUGGUUUUACUAUCACUUAUAGAUGGACCCGCGCCGUAUUAGCUAGUUGGUGGGGUAAUGGCUUACCAAGGCAACGAUACGUAGCCGACCUGAGAGGGUGAUCGGCCACACUGGAACUGAGACACGGUCCAGACUCCUACGGGAGGCAGCAGUAGGGAAUCUUCCGCAAUGGGCGAAAGCCUGACGGAGCAACGCCGCGUGAGUGAUGAAGGUCUUCGGAUCGUAAAACUCUGUUAUUAGGGAAGAACAAAUGUGUAAGUAACUGUGCACGUCUUGACGGUACCUAAUCAGAAAGCCACGGCUAACUACGUGCCAGCAGCCGCGGUAAUACGUAGGUGGCAAGCGUUAUCCGGAAUUAUUGGGCGUAAAGCGCGCGUAGGCGGUUUCUUAAGUCUGAUGUGAAAGCCCACGGCUCAACCGUGGAGGGUCAUUGGAAACUGGGAAACUUGAGUGCAGAAGAGGAAAGUGGAAUUCCAUGUGUAGCGGUGAAAUGCGCAGAGAUAUGGAGGAACACCAGUGGCGAAGGCGACUUUCUGGUCUGUAACUGACGCUGAUGUGCGAAAGCGUGGGGAUCAAACAGGAUUAGAUACCCUGGUAGUCCACGCCGUAAACGAUGAGUGCUAAGUGUUAGGGGGUUUCCGCCCCUUAGUGCUGCAGCUAACGCAUUAAGCACUCCGCCUGGGGAGUACGACCGCAAGGUUGAAACUCAAAGGAAUUGACGGGGACCCGCACAAGCGGUGGAGCAUGUGGUUUAAUUCGAAGCAACGCGAAGAACCUUACCAAAUCUUGACAUCCUUUGACAACUCUAGAGAUAGAGUCUUCCCCUUCGGGGGACAAAGUGACAGGUGGUGCAUGGUUGUCGUCAGCUCGUGUCGUGAGAUGUUGGGUUAAGUCCCGCAACGAGCGCAACCCUUAAGCUUAGUUGCCAGCAUUAAGUUGGGCACUCUAAGUUGACUGCCGGUGACAAACCGGAGGAAGGUGGGGAUGACGUCAAAUCAUCAUGCCCCUUAUGAUUUGGGCUACACACGUGCUACAAUGGACAAUACAAAGGGCAGCUAAACCGCGAGGUCAUGCAAAUCCCAUAAAGUUGUUCUCAGUUCGGAUUGUAGUCUGCAACUCGACUACAUGAAGCUGGAAUCGCUAGUAAUCGUAGAUCAGCAUGUUACGGUGAAUACGUUC
rnacentral:rRNA from 1 species